rnacentral:misc_RNA from 1 species
GAUGAAGAACGCAGCGAAAUGCGAUAAGUAGUGUGAAUUGCAGAAUUCAGUGAAUCAUCGAAUCUUUGAACGCACAUUGCGCCUCCUGGCAUUCCGGGAGGCAUGCCUGUUCGAGCGUCAUCAAACCCCAUCGUGCAAAUGAAUUAUUUUUUUUGCGCGGAAGUGACGAUUGAGCGAGAAUAACAAAUCCUCUCGCACCUCGUCGAAAUGAUUGCGGGCGGAAUUUGGGAUCGGGUUCCUCGGCGUAGUGUAUCAAUGCAUAUUUAUGCAACUUGCCGCGGAGUUGAGCCUGACCCACGCGUUCUCGCCGUACAAACACCUCAUUACUUUACAAGUUUUUGACCUCGGAUCAGGUAGGGAUACCCGCUGAACUUAAGCAUAUCAUAAGCGGAGGA